rnacentral:rRNA from 1 species
AUGCAAGUCGAGCGGGGGAAGGUAGCUUGCUACCGGACCUAGCGGCGGACGGGUGAGUAAUGCUUAGGAAUCUGCCUAUUAGUGGGGGACAACAUCUCGAAAGGGAUGCUAAUACCGCAUACGUCCUACGGGAGAAAGCAGGGGAUCUUCGGACCUUGCGCUAAUAGAUGAGCCUAAGUCGGAUUAGCUAGUUGGUGGGGUAAAGGCCUACCAAGGCGACGAUCUGUAGCGGGUCUGAGAGGAUGAUCCGCCACACUGGGACUGAGACACGGCCCAGACUCCUACGGGAGGCAGCAGUGGGGAAUAUUGGACAAUGGGGGGAACCCUGAUCCAGCCAUGCCGCGUGUGUGAAGAAGGCCUUAUGGUUGUAAAGCACUUUAAGCGAGGAGGAGGCUACUUUAGUUAAUACCUAGAGAUAGUGGACGUUACUCGCAGAAUAAGCACCGGCUAACUCUGUGCCAGCAGCCGCGGUAAUACAGAGGGUGCGAGCGUUAAUCGGAUUUACUGGGCGUAAAGCGUGCGUAGGCGGCUUAUUAAGUCGGAUGUGAAAUCCCCGAGCUUAACUUGG